rnacentral:rRNA from 1 species
GACGAACGCUGGCGGCGUGCUUAACACAUGCAAGUCGAACGCUGAAGACCUGGCUUUUGUUGGGUUGGAUGAGUGGCGAACGGGUGAGUAACACGUGAGUAACCUGCCCUCUUCUUUGGGAUAACGCCCGGAAACGGGUGCUAAUACUGGAUAUUCACUGAUCUUCGCAUGGGGGUUGGUGGAAAGGUUUGUUCUGGUGGGGGAUGGGCUCGCGGCCUAUCAGCUUGUUGGUGGGGUGAUGGCCUACCAAGGCUUUGACGGGUAGCCGGCCUGAGAGGGUGACCGGUCACAUUGGGACUGGGAUACGGCCCAGACUGCUACGGGAGGCAGCAGUGGGGAAUAUUGCACAAUGGGCGAAAGCCUGAUGCAGCGACGCCGCGUGAGGGAUGGAGGCCUUCGGGUUGUAAACCUCUUUCGCUCAUGGUCAAGCCGCAACUGUGGGUUGUGGUGAGGGUAGUGGGUAAAGAAGCGCCGGCUAACUACGUG